AUUGAACGCUGGCGGCAGGCCUAACACAUGCAAGUCGAGCGCGCGGCGGACGGGUGAGUAAUGUCUGGGAAACUGCCUGAUGGAGGGGGAUAACUACAGGAAACGGUAGCUAAUACCCCAUACCAUCAGAUGUGCCCAGAUGGGAGUAGCUAGUAGGUGGGGUAACGGCUCACCUAGGCGACGAUCCCCAGCUGGUCUGAGAGGAUGAGCAGCCACACUGGAACUGAGACACGGUCCAGACUCCUACGGGAGGCAGCAGUGGGGAAUAUUGCACAAUGGGCGCAAGCCUGAUGCAGCCAUGCCGCGUGUAUGAAGAAGGCCUUCGGGUUGUAAAGUACUUUCAGCGGGGAGGCGUUACCCGCAGAAGAAGCACCGGCUAACUCCGUGCCGGCAGCCGCGGUAAUAC
rnacentral:rRNA from 1 species